rnacentral:rRNA from 1 species
GACGAACGCUGGCGGCGUGCCUAACACAUGCAAGUUGAGCGACGAACCAGGGCUUGCCCUGGGGCAAAGCAGCGAACGGGUGAGUAACACGUGGGUAACCUACCCCGAUAACCGGGACAACCCGAGGAAACUCGGGCUAAUACCGGAUGUGCUCACUGGACUUCGGUUCAGUGCGUAAAGGAAGCUUCGGCCUCCGUAUCGGGAGGGGCCCGCGGCCCAUUAGUUUGUUGGUGAGGUAACGGCUCACCAAGACCGCGAUGGGUAGCUGGUCUGAGAGGACGAUCAGCCACGCUGGGACUGAGACACGGCCCAGACUCCUACGGGAGGCAGCAGUGGGGAAUCUUGCGCAAUGCGCGAAAGCGUGACGCAGCAACGCCGCGUGGGGGAAGAAGGCCUUCGGGUUGUAAACCCCUUUCAGGAGGUACGAAGGUUCGGCGGUGAAUAGCCGUCCGGACUGACGGUACCUCCACAAGAAGCCCCGGCUAACUACGUG